CUAGGGUUGGCUGCAGCCAGGGUUUCAGGGGUGUGUUGUGACUCCACUGUGCCAGGUGGCCCAGAUUUGGAGGUCAAAGACUGCAGUCCAAAGUCAAGUUCAAGGAGCCAGGAAGAGCAACAAGAGAAAGGACUGGCAAAAAAGAACUUGCAGAAGUGAGAAUACAGGUCAGGAGUCCCUGAAGAGUCCCAGAAGCAACAGAACGGCUUUGGAGCCAAGCUGGGCCAUGGAUCACACAGCUGAGGAGACUGACACUCAGAUGGCCCUGAAUGAGAGCUCCAGACCCUGCAGCUGGCCAUGCAGAGGUUUGGGCCAGAAAUAACUUCACCUCCCUGCACCUAUUUGCUCGAUCCUGUGAAUGUUUGCCAGAUUCAGCAGAGAGCCCUGCACCAGCAAGAAGGCCUUCACCAGAUGCUGCUUCUCAGCCUUGAACUUUCCAGCCUUCAGAACCAUGAGCCAAAUAAACCUCUUUUUCCUAUAGAUUUCCCAGUCUUUGGUAUUCUGUUGUUUGUUUUUUGAGACAAGGUCUCACUAUGUAGUUCUGGCUGGCCUUGAACUCAUGGCAAUCCUCCUGCCUCAGCCUCCCUAGUGCUGGGAUUACAUAUAUGUUAUACCAACAGAAAAUGAAUUAACACAAUGAC
rnacentral:lncRNA from 1 species